GUUUACAGCCAUACCACCCUGAACUCAUCUGGCCUCAUCUGAUCUCGGAAGCUAAGCAGGGUCAGGCUUGGUUAGCACUUGGAUCGGAGAAAAGAAGGACACAUUUGUUAAACUCAGUUACUGUGCAAG
ensembl:rRNA 5S_rRNA 5S ribosomal RNA